CGAUUUGUGGUAGUUUACUUUGAUGACAUAUUGAUUUAUAGCAGAUCUUUGGAGGAACAUUUGGAACAUUUACGUGCUGUUUUUAUUGCUCUACGUGAUACACGUUUGUUUGGUAACCUUGGGAAGUGCACCUUUUGCACCGACCGAGUAUCUUUUCUUGGCUAUGUUGUUACUCCACAGGGAAUUGAAGUUGAUAAAGCCAAGAUUGAAGCUAUUGAGAGUUGGCCGCAGCCCAAAACGGUCACACAAGUGAGGAGUUUUCUUGGCCUCGCUGGAUUCUAUAGGCGUUUUGUGAGAGAUUUC
rnacentral:rRNA from 1 species